rnacentral:rRNA from 1 species
UGGGGAAUAUUGGACAAUGGGGGCAACCCUGAUCCAGCCAUGCCGCGUGUGUGAAGAAGGCCUUCGGGUUGUAAAGCUCUUUCAGCGGGGAAGAUAAUGACGGUACCCGCAGAAGAAGCCCCGGCUAACUUCGUGCCAGCAGCCGCGGUAAUACGAAGGGGGCUAGCGUUGUUCGGAAUUACUGGGCGUAAAGGGCGCGUAGGCGGAUUUGCAGGUUAGGGUGAAAUCCCGGGCUCAACCCCGGAACUGCCUCUAAAACUGCUAAUCUAGAGUUCGGGAGAGGUGAGUGGAAUUCCGAGUGUAGAGGUGAAAUUCGUAGAUAUUCGGAGGAACACCAGUGGCGAAGGCGGCUCACUGGCCCGAAACUGACGCUGAGGCGCGAAAAGCGUGGGGAGCAAAACAGGAUUAGAUACC